rnacentral:tRNA from 1 species
GGGGAUGUAGCUCAGUGGUAGAGCACCUGCCUAGCACGGAGGAGGCCCAGAGUUCCGUCCUCA